UACGGAGGAUCCAAGCGUUAUCCGGAUUUAUUGGGCUUAAAGGGUGCGUAGGCGGCCUAUUAAGUCAGGGGUGAAAGACGGUAGCUUAACUAUCGCAGUGCCUUUGAUACUGAUGGGCUUGAAUGGACUAGAGGUAGGCGGAAUGUGACAAGUAGCGGUGAAAUGCAUAGAUAUGUCACAGAACACCAAUUGCGAAGGCAGCUUACUAUGGUUUAAUUGACGCUGAGGCACGAAAGCGUGGGGAUCAAACAGG
rnacentral:rRNA from 1 species